rnacentral:rRNA from 1 species
CUAACACCGUGCCAGCGGCCGCGGUAAUACGGAGGAUCAAAGCGUGAUCCGGAAUUACGUGGCGUAAAGAGUUGCGUAGGUGGCAGGGUAAGUAGAUAGUGAAAGCGUGUGGCUCAACCAUACAUCCAUUAUCUAAACUGCUCAGCUAGAGGACGAGAGAGGUUAUUGGAAUUCCCAGUGUAGGAGUGAAAUCCGUAGAUAUUGGGAGGAACACCGAUGGCGUAGGCAGAUAACUGGCUCGUUCCUGACACUAAGGCACGAAAGCGUGGGGAGCAAACGGGAUUAGAUACCCGUGUAGUC